rnacentral:SRP_RNA from 2 species
GCCAGGUGUGGUGGCUCACGCCUGUAAUCCUAGCACUUUGGGAGGCUGAGGCAGGAGAAUCACCUGAGGUCAGGAGUUUGAGACCAGCCUGGCCAACAUGGUGAAACCCUGUCUCUA